GAUUGAAGGAGCAGUAGCAUGCCGAGAGAUCAUCCAGCACUGCACUAAAGACAACCAGUAAAGGCUUCCCACCUGACUUCCUACACGACCUGUUUGAAGGUGUCAUUUCAGUGGAGUUGGCACAUUGUUUAAAGGCGAGGGACCAUGGCCAGCACUCUUUCAUGAGACACAGCUCUACUUUGAAUUUCAUCGGAUCACCAAUCAGAAUCUGCCACAUGUGUUUUAUGCUGCGCUGGAUGAUUAUGCUCCUCAGCUGACUGGACUUUACAAAAAGAGGAAAACUGGACGGGUCGGUGAAAGGAUGGAGCAGCUUUUGUCGGCAUAUGGAAAACAGGGUGAAAUUGAGUUCUAUGAAGCCAUAGAAUUGCUCUGGUUGCUGAUGUCGAUGAAGAGGAGGUGCCUGGAGGAGUUCCUUUCUCACCACGCCAAGUGUUCAUAGACCUUGAAGAUCAGUUUGUUAUGACUCAUCACUCAUGGACUGAUGCCCUGGUGUCUUUGUUUGGGCUAAUCUAUGCUCUGCAUCUGAGCUAUCCUAUGAAGUAUACUGGCUUUUUUGAGUUCAUUCAAGUAGUGUUGCUGAAGCUAGACGAUGAGAGAAAGCAACUAAAACCAAAAUUGCAGACACUAAAAAAUGAGCUUGUGCAGAUGAUGUUUGUUUUUCACUGGUCACUAUAUUCGUGCUUUUUCAGUUAUCUGUGAAUGGCUUCAAUAGUUUUAUUUGUUCUGGGUAAUUAGCUUUCUAAAAGGCAAUGUGGAGAAAGCUAAGAAUAAGGAGAAAAUCCAUAUUUGACGUUUUGUUUGUGAUUGAAAAAAAUCUUCACAUAGUGUGUAAUCUUAAGCUUAUUUCUAAAAACAUAUUUUAGUUACAUGGAAAUCUUUUGCGAGAUAACUGAUAAUUAGUCAAUAUGUACAGUAUACUUUCAUGCUUUAUUUUUUAAUUGUGUGAUGAGUGCCAGUUCACUCGAGGUCUGGGCAAAACUGUUGCGAAGCCACAAAUACCUUUGAGAA